rnacentral:rRNA from 1 species
CCUACGGGCGGCAGCAGUGAGGAAUAUUGGUCAAUGGGCGAGAGCCUGAACCAGCCAAGUCGCGUGAGGGAGUACUGCCCUAUGGGUUGUAAACCUCUUUUGUCGGGGAGCAAAAGCCGGACGUGUCCGGCUGUGAGAGUACCCGAAGAAAAAGCAUCGCCUAACUCCGUGCCAGCAGCCGCGGUAAUACGGAGGAUGCGAGCGUUAUCCGGAUUUAUUGGGGUUAAAGGGUGCGCAGGCGGAUUUUUAAGUCAGCGGUCAAAUCGUGGGGCUCAACCCCAUCCAGCCGUUGAAACUGGGGAUCUAGAGUGUGCGAGAGGUAUGCGGAAUGCGUGGUGUAGCGGUGAAAUGCAUAGAUAUCACGCAGAACCCCGAUUGCGAAGGCAGCAUACCGGUGCACAACUGACGCUCAGGCACGAAAGCGUGGGUAUCGAACAGGAUUAGAUACCCGUGUAGUC